CCUUGCUGGAUUAGCCGGAUCGUUCCCACCUUCGACUAUGAACGUGUACGUCUGUCCUCUCUCCACUGUGAUUUCAGGGAUCAGCAAGUCGUUGAUGUACCACGCGAUUCCCCAAGCAGGUUCAGGUCCGAUCCUCGCGCUGAAGGUAGUUUCGUUGGUGAUUACGGCUGCUGGCCAGGGUUCGAUGUCAGACAUGUCCGGGAGGUUGUAGAGGGAAUUUGUACACUCGUGCACGUUCCUCGACGUAAAAUCAAUACGAAUGUCCUCGUUCGUCCUGUCGAAGCUGUGAUGAGCAUUGGCUUCUCCUCUCAUAUUCAGAGGUCCUAUCGCCGCGAUUACGCUCGUUUCUGUGUUCGGGAUCAUUCUCGAAUAGAUCGGAAGAGC
rnacentral:misc_RNA from 1 species